GACGAACGCUGGCGGCGUGCUUAACACAUGCAAGUCGAACGGAAAGGCCCUGCUUUUGUGGGGUGCUCGAGUGGCGAACGGGUGAGUAACACGUGAGUAACCUGCCCUUGACUUUGGGAUAACUUCAGGAAACUGGGGCUAAUACCGGAUAGGAGCUCCUGCUGCAUGGUGGGGGUUGGAAAGUUUCGGCGGUUGGGGAUGGACUCGCGGGUUAUCAGCUUGUUGGUGGGGUAGUGGUUUACCAAGGCUUUGACGGGUAGCCGGCCUGAGAGGGUGACCGGCCACAGUGGGACUGAGAGACGGCCCAGACUCCUACGGGAGGCAGCAGUGGGGAAUAUUGCACAAUGGGCGGAAGCCUGAUGCAGCGACGCCGCGUGAGGGAUGACGGCCUUCGGGUUGUAAACCUCUUUCAGCGGGGACGAAGCGUGAGUGACGGUAGGUGAAAAAGAAGCACCGGCAAACUACGUG
rnacentral:rRNA from 1 species